AUUGAACGCUGGCGGCAGGCCUAACACAUGCAAGUCGAGCGAGCGGAGGACGGGUGAGUAAGGACUGGGCACCUGCCUGAUGGAGGGGGAUAACUACUGGAAACGGUUGCUAAUACCGCAAACCAUCAGAUGUGCCGAGAUGGGAUUGGCUAGUAGGUGGGGUAAUGGCACACCAAGGAGACGAUCCCUAGCUGGUCUGAGAGGCGGACCAGCCACACUGGAACUGAGACACGGUCCAGACUCCUACGGGAGGCAGCAGUGGGGAAUAUUGGACAAUGGGCGAAAGCCUGAUGCAGCCAUGCCGCGUGUGUGAAGAGGGCCGUCGGGUUGUAAAACACUUUCAGCGAGGAGGCGUUACUCGCAGAAAAAGCACCGGCUAACUCCGUGCCAGCAGCCGCGGUAAUUC
rnacentral:rRNA from 1 species